rnacentral:tRNA from 1 species
CAGAAAAUAGUUUAUGAAAAUAUUAGUUUUGGGAAUUAAAGAUAAAGAUAUAUUCUUUUUUUCUGA